rnacentral:misc_RNA from 1 species
CGGAGGCUGAAUUGUGCUGGCACUGAUGAACUCGCAAAGGGCUCAGCCCUUGGUGGCAGGGGAUGAACAGGACUUAAAACUCUCGAACCUGGAGCGGAAGAGAAUGGAUCUCGAUUGUUCUUCCUUGGAGAAGAAGUGGAAUACUCAUUGCCUUUAAAAAUAUCAUCAAAGAAGUCAUCACUUGUAUAUCGCCUUCUACUAACCCCUUCCUCUCCAAAGACAGGCUUCUCGCUCAGACCAGACCACCGAGGGCGAUAUGAACUUGUUUCCUCAUCACUC